AUCUCAGUCCAUCACACCAGUGAAACUUAAUGGACUCAACUCCAAAAUGUUAUUUUUUUUAAACUUUCAACAUUAAGUUCUAGAGCUUGUCAUGUCUAGCAUGUCAGUAUUUCCUUCCAUUUCUAGAUGACAUGUGAGAUACAGGAAAUGGAGAGAAGGCAGGAACCUAUGGGUCUGGAUCCAGGCAGCAACAAAUCUUCCUGGAGAUAAGAGAUUUUGGGUUAAUCUGAGAUAAAAUUUACUAACUCAAGGAAACCUGAGUAUAGAAAAAGAGGAGGAAGUUGUGCCAAAGUAAAGCUACAUGACUACUCCAGAGUCACAAAGCUAUUUAUUACAGGGCAUUCAUCAUAUGUUAUGCGUGCAUUCCUGCAUUUCUCUUGACUUCAUAAAGAUAUCAGUAUGACACUUGAUGCUCAUUGGUCACCCCUCAUUCUUACAGUGCCUAAUGAAUGAUACAUCAAGAGCUGCUAUGAAGCUGGAGGGAGAAACUUUCUGCCAUGAGUCAUCAUCCGUGCCGAAUUACAGAUCUUUCCUCAUUAGUCUGAUUAAAAAGCCUAACUCAUUAUGGCUCAGGAAGUGAUUUACAUGAUGCCUUUUGGUUGUCUUCUUUUUUUUCCUCAGGAGCUCACAUUUUGGCUAAGAAUUCAUUUGCUAUUUUAAAUGGUUUUAAAAUUCAGUUCUUAAAAUGCAUAUUCAUUAUCAUAUCAUUCAGACCCAUAAAUGUUCUUUUA
rnacentral:lncRNA from 1 species